UACGGAGGGGGCUAGCGUUGUUCGGAAUUACUGGGCGUAAAGCGUGCGCAGGCGGUUUUGUAAGCCAGAUGUGAAAUCCCCGGGCUCAACCUGGGAACUGCAUCUGUGACUGCAUCGCUGGAGUGCGGCAGAGGGGGAUGGAAUUCCGCGUGUAGCAGUGAAAUGCGUAGAUAUGCGGAGGAACACCGAUGGCGAAGGCAAUCCCCUGGGCCUGCACUGACGCUCAUGCACGAAAGCGUGGGGAGCAAACAGG
rnacentral:rRNA from 1 species